rnacentral:rRNA from 1 species
AGCGAACGCUGGCGGCAGGCCUAACACAUGCAAGUCGAACGAACCUUUCGGGGUUAGUGGCGGACGGGUGAGUAACACGUGGGAACGUGCCUUUAGGUUCGGAAUAACUCAGGGAAACUUGUGCUAAUACCGAAUGUGCCCUUCGGGGGAAAGAUUUAUCGCCUUUAGAGCGGCCCGCGUCUGAUUAGCUAGUUGGUUGAGGUAAUGGCUCACCAAGGCGACGAUCAGUAGCUGGUCUGAGAGGAUGAUCAGCCACAUUGGGACUGAGACACGGCCCAAACCCCUACGGGGGGCAGCAGGGGGGAAUCUUGCGCAAUGGGCGAAAGCCUGACGCAGCCAUGCCGGGUGAAUGAUGAAGGUUUUAGGAUUGUAAAAUUCUUUCCCCGGGGACGAUAAUGACGGUACCCGGAGAAGAAGCCCCGGCUAACUUCGU